rnacentral:rRNA from 1 species
ACGCUGGCGGCACGCCUAACACAUGCAAGUCGAACGAAGUAGCAAUACUUAGUGGCAGACGGGUGAGUAACAUGUAGGUAUCUGCCCUUUGGCCUGGAAUAACACGAGGAAACUUGUGCUAAUACCGGAUAAGUCUUUACGGAGAAAGCUUUAUGCACCAUUGGAUGAGCCUGCACUUGAUUAGUUUGUUGGUGGGGUAAUGGCCUACCAAGACUGUGAUCAAUAGCUGAUUUGAGAGGAUGAUCAGCCACAUUGGGACUGGGACACGGCCCAAACUCCUACGGGAGGCAGCAGUGGGGAAUCUUGCACAAUGGAGGAAACUCUGAUGCAGCGAUGCCGCGUGAGUGAAGAAGGCCCUUGGGUUGUAAAGCUCUUUCGUCGGGGAAGAAAAUGACUGUACCCGAAUAAGAAGGUCCGGCUAACUUCGUGCCAGCAGCCGCGGUAAUACGAAGGGACCUAGCGUAGUUCGGAAUUACUGGGCUUAAAGAGUUCGUAGGUGGUUGAAAAAGUUAGUGGUGAAAUCCCAGAGCUUAACUCUGGAACUGCCAUUAAAACUUUUCAGCUAGAGUAUGAUAGAGGAAAGCAGAAUUUCUAGUGUAGAGGUGAAAUUCGUAGAUAUUAGAAAGAAUACCAAUUGCGAAGGCAGCUUUCUGGAUCAUUACUGACACUGAGGAACGAAAGCAUGGGUAGCGAAGAGGAUUAGAUACCCUCGUAGUCCAUGCCGUAAACGAUGUGUGUUAGACGUUGGAAAUUUAUUUUCAGUGUCGCAGGGAAACCGAUAAACACACCGCCUGGGGAGUACGACCGCAAGGUUAAAACUCAAAUGAAUUGACGGGGACCCGCACAAGUAGUGGAGCAUGUGGUUUAAUUCGAAGAUACGCGCAGAACCUUACCAACACUCGACAUGUUCGUCGCGACUCUAAGAGAUUAGAGUUUUCGGUUCGGCCGGACGAAACACAGGUGCUGCAUGGCUGUCGUCAGCUCGUGUCGUGAGAUGUUGGGUUAAGUCCCGCAACGAGCGCAACCCUCACUUUUAGUUGCCAUCAUUAAGUUGGGCACUCUGAAAGAACUGCCAGUGAUAAGCUGGAGGAAGGUGGGGAUGACGUCAAGUCCUCAUGGCCCUUACGUGUUGGGCUACACACAUGCUACAAUGGUAUCUACAACAGGAAGCAAGACUGCGAAGUUAAGCAAAUCCCUAAAAGAUACCUCAGUUCGGAUUGCACUCUGCAACUCGAGUGCAUGAAGCUGGAAUUACUAGUAAUCGUGGAUCAGCGUGCCACGGUGAAUGCGUUCCCGGGUCUUGCACUCACCGCC